ACCCUCCUUCAGGCAGCCGUGGGGGAUAUUGCACAAUGGGGGGAACCCUGAUUCCUCUCCUCCUCUUUUUUUCCUCCUCUCCUCUUCGCGUAAAGCCCUGUCAGCAGUUAAGAAAAUGACGGUACCUGAAGAAGAAGCCCCGGCUAACUACGUGCCAGCAGCCGCGGUAAUACGUAGGGGGCAAGCGUUAUCCGGAUUUACUGGGUGUAAAGGGGGCGCAGACGGCGAUGCAAGCCAGGAGUGAAAGCCCGGG
rnacentral:rRNA from 1 species